rnacentral:lncRNA from 1 species
GGCCCGCCGGCUCUGUGUCUCCUCUGCAUUCCCCUUGGCCUGGCCAAAGUCACUAAAUGGCCUCUUUGGGACUUCGCAGCGCCGUCCAGCCCCUCCUCCGUCCUUUGUCCGGCGGCUCUGCAGGCGGGCUUCGCCCGGCCAAGUCAGGCGGCGCGGGGCGCUCUGAGGGCCCCGGGUGCUACUUGUUGCAUUUCUGUAGAAAACUGUUUCUCUUGGUGCGUGUCGGGGGGCGAGGGGAGGGAGCAAGAACCGGCGCUUUUUGUUUGCAGCAGAGUCCGGAGAGCUGGAUUCCCUGGCGCGGAUUCUGCCCGCCGAGUGGAUUCCCCUGCUGCAGGCGGGAGCCCUUACAAGAGCUUCUCUGGGCGCGGCUUGGCAGCGGAGCCCCGGUGGCUCGGGCCCCCGCAGCCGGCACCUCCUCGCUCGCGGUCCCGGACGGGGAGCGCGACCCCGGUGCAACAGCUCGGGGAGCACGCGGGCUGCGUCCGGAAGGGACCCGAGUCUGCGAGCAGAGAGCAAACCGGGCGGAAAUUCGUUCUUCCCACACUCUGCCCGCGGGGACGCAGGCGGAGAAAGAGGAGACGGCGGAGGGAGGACAGACCCCGGCAGGGGGAGGAGGAAACGCUAAAUGGCUCCACGUCUGGUCAGCCCGAGCCCGGGAUGCCAAGUGCCACCCUGUGGGAAGUUUGGGCAGCACGAAGGCCGCCAGCAUUCUGCAGGAAGUUUGGAGAGCACAGGGUUGCCUGCAGAAGGCCGUAAGAAGAUGGAUUUCAGCAGGCAGCUGA